GACGAACGCUGGCGGCGUGCUUAACACAUGCAAGUCGAACGGAAAGGCCCUGCUUUUGUGGGGUGCUCGAGUGGCGAACGGGUGAGUAACACGUGAGUAACCUGCCCUUGACUUUGGGAUAACUUCAGGAAACUGGGGCUAAUACCGGAUAGGAGCUCCUGCUGCAUGGUGGGGGUUGGAAAGUUUCGGCGGUUGGGGAUGGACUCGCGGCUUAUCAGCUUGUUGGUGGGGUAGUGGCUUACCAGGGCUUUGACGGGUAGCCGGCCUGAGAGGGUGACCGGCCACAUUGGGACUGAGGUACGGCCCAGACUCCUACGGGAGGCAGGAGUGGGGAAUAUUGCACAAUGGGCGGAGGCCUGAUGCAGCAACUCCGCGUGCGGGAUGACGGCCUUCGGGUUGUAAACCGCUUUCGCCUGUGACGAAGCGUGAGUGACGGUAAUGGGUAAAGAAGCACCGGCUAACUACGU
rnacentral:rRNA from 1 species